CUCAAAGGAAUUGACGGGGGCCCGCACAAGCGGAGGAGCAUGUGGUUUAAUUCGAUGAUACGCGAGGAACCUUACCUGGGCUCAAACGUAAGACGACGUUACGUGAAAGCGUAAUUCCCUUCGGGGCGUUUUACGAGGUGCUGCAUGGUUGUCGUCAGCUCGUGCCGUGAGGUGUCGGGUUAAGUCCCAUAACGAGCGCAACCCCUAUUCUUAGUUGCCAUCAGGUCAUGCUGGGAACUCUAAGGAAACUGCCUACGCAAGUAGUGAGGAAGGUGGGGAUGACGUCAAAUCAGCACGGCCCUUAUGUCCAGGGCUACACACGUGCUACAAUGGCCGGUACAGAGGGUCGCUACCUGGUGACAGGAUGCUAAUCUCGAAAACCGGUCUCAGUUCGGAUCGAAGUCUGCAACUCGACUUCGUGAAGUUGGAUUCGCUAGUAAUCGCAUAUCAGCAAUGGUGCGGUGAAUACGUUCCCGGGCCUUGUACACACCGCCCGUCAAGCCAUGGAAGCUGGGGGUACCUGAAGUCCGUGACCGCA
rnacentral:rRNA from 1 species